AGGAUCUUAAGUUAAUAAAACUGUUGGCCUUCAAAGUCAAAAAUAAUAUAGAUUAGAUCU
rnacentral:tRNA from 1 species